UGCCAGCAGCCGCGGUAAUACGUAUGGUGCAAGCGUUGUUCGGAAUUAUUGGGCGUAAAGCGCGUGUAGGCGGUUCGUUAAGUCUGAUGUGAAAGCCCGGGGCUCAACCCCGGAAGUGCAUUGGAAACUACUGACCUAGAGUAUGGGAGGGGGAGAUGGAAUUAGUGGUGUAGGGGUAAAAUCCGUAGAUAUCACUAGGAAUACCGAAAGCGAAGGCGAUCUCCUGGAACAAUACUGACGCUAAGGCGUGAAAGCGUGGGGAGCAAACGGGAUUAGAUA
rnacentral:rRNA from 1 species